UACGUAGGUGACUAGCGUUGUCCGGAUUUACUGGGCGUAAAGAGCGCGCAGGCGGUCAUUCAAGUCGAGUGUGAAAGCCCCCGGCUCACUGGGGAGGGUCACUCGAUACUGAACGACUCGAAGGCGGGAGAGGGAAGCGGAAUUCCCGGUGUAGUGGUGAAAUGCGUAGAUAUCGGGAGGAACACCAGUGGCGAAGGCGGCUUCCUGGCCCGUUUUUUGGACGCUGAGGCGCGAAAGCUAGGGGAGCAAACGGGAUUGAGAU
rnacentral:rRNA from 1 species